GCUGAGGAUAAGAAAUGUUGGAGUGUGAAUUAUGUCAGCAGGAGAAUCUGUGCUGUUCACGGCUCCUCAGUGAACAUUUCAAGUGAAUAUUCUCAUCCUGACAACCAGCAGCCCCAGUCUAAAUUAUGGUACAGAAUAAUCAGAAGUGGUAAGAAGGAUACUGAAAAGCCUAUUGAAGUUGCAGGUCGUGUUGAGUACUAUGAAAACAUGAAGAAUCAUCACAUCCUGUCAAUUAAAGACCUGACGAGGAAUGACUCAGCAGAAUACAAAUUCAAGAUACACGACAGAUGGAAACAGUCAGAUUUUUCUGGAGUGAUGUUGGUUGUCACAGGUAAUUCUUUAGAUUAAAAAACAUUAUUUUUUAAUAUUGAAUUAUUGAUUCCAAACCAUGUGAUGUACUAUCAGCAGUCAGCACACACUGGAAGGCAGGUUCAAUGCUCCUUUCACUCAAAUCAAUUAAUGUAUUUAUCAGAACAAAUCAAUCAAUAAAUUUUGGCUUGUGGCUUUAUGGCUUCUUUUAGAAGACACUAACAAACACUCAACUUUGUGGUAGUUAUGAGACCUUGUGAGAUAGUAUGUCUCUUAAACAUUUGCUGAUCAAACUAUCUUUCAGGUCUUAAAGUGACGUUCACUCCCUCUGCAGUGGUGACAGAGGGUCAGAGAGUCACACUGACCUGCAGCACCAGCUGUCCUCUGAACACAGACUACACCUGGACCUUCAACAGUCGACCUCUGAACCUGCCAGAGAACCAAAACAAACACCUGGUUCUAGACCCAGUCAGCAGUCAGCAUGAAGGAAGGUACUCCUGUAUGGUCAAAACUGGCAGAAGAACCAUUGGCUCAAGUGAAGAAACUCUGACUGUCCAAAAUACUAAAGGGAAACAAACAUCAGCAGCAGCUGCAGGACUGUGUGCUGCUCUCCUGGUUAUAUUAUCUCUCACUGUCCUCUGGUGGAUGAGAAAGCAGAGAACAUCCAGCCAAUCUCCUGGAACUGAACCCUCAGACAACUCGGAGCAGCCAAACCCUGAUUCUGUGUAUGAAAACAUCUCAGCUCCAUCAGCAGAGCAGGAUGACCAUCACUACAUGAGACUCCACUUCUCUAAGAACCACACAGAAGAUCUCUACUCCACCCUCCAUCAACCAGCUUCCAACUGAACUACAGUUUGUUGUCAUUGUAUUCUGCCAUUAGAGCCUGACCAAUAUAUUGUUCGAUAUUAACGAAUCAUAGAUAUAUCUGGGAUAUAUUGAUAUCCACCUAUAUGUUACCCAAAAUGUCCAUUACAAAUUUUCAAGCAACAUAAUGCAGAAUAAAAGGCCCUGGUGUAAUUCAUGAUUAAAGGGAUAUUCCGGUGUAAGUUUAAUCCAUGGUCUAAAUCACCGUGAAACUGUGUUACACUCCCUCUCGAGAGAUCAAGUUAGCAGACCGCUAAUUUACGGAGUUUUAUCAGCCUCAGAAACGACCGCACGACAACAAUACACUGCAGUAAAUGGGUCCAAAUAUAAACCGACACCAAAAAGCCACAAAUAAUGCUCAGAACUAGGGGUGUCAACGUCUACACGUGUAAACGGAUACACGGAUAACAAAUCAUAACCGUUUAGAAAAAUCAAUAACCGUUUACAAGUCUUUUUUUCUUCCUCCUCCUCCUCCUCGUUCAUUUCUCAUCAAUAUAUAUAGUAUUCAGGGUUUCCCCUACAUGUAAUUGACUGUGGCGCACCGCCACGGCAAAAAAUAAAAGCCGCCACACCUUAAAAAUUCAGGCAUAAAUAAAUCCAGUGGAAAUAUUUUACCGUUGUCUUCCACCGCAGUCUUUGACGUUAACUAGCAUGUUGGAUAUUUAGCUUGAUAAUUGGCUAGAGGAUUAAAAUGGUCACUUAGACCAGAGUCCUGCACUGGUCACCGCAUCCGACCCGUUAUCCGACAGUAGCACAGAUUACAUUCCGUACCAGAGCCGACCCGCUAUAAAUUGAUACCGACGCCCGAAGGAAAAUUGGACGGACGCAAUUUUGAAAAGUGAAAGUAAGAUAAUGUUACCUGAAAGCUUCAGAUAAUAACAUUAACUAACUAUACACUUAAAUGUUCCCACUAGUGCAGUUAUCCGCAUACAUAAUAGAUGAAUGGGGCACAAUGUUACGUUGAUAUAAAAAAAAAAAAAAAACCUGCAGCCACAGCCAGUGUCGCGUCACGUCACUUCAAGUUGACUAGGGGACACGAUGGCGGCAGGUCAACAAGCGGAGCACUGUGUGUUUUUUGAACAAACUGCCAGUGGAAAUCAAGUUGAGUGUAGGCUAUGUCAGGCUUACAACAACAGCACGGGAUCCAUGCUAAACCACCUGUGAUGGAAACACCCGAACAAUUUGGAGGGAGAGACUGCUGCUGGCAUCGGUGCUACCACAACUGCGAUAGAAAGAGAUCAUAAAUCUCCGACGUGUAACCGUGUACACGUCGGUUAGAAGCCCCGUUUACACGUGUAGAACAAAUUGUAAACGUUGACACCCCUACUCAGAACAGCACCAAACUUCAGCAACAGUACAAAUAGGGUCUCAGCACAUAGUCCGGGGCAUCUAACCUCCGCUAGCUUAGCUGGAUUUCUACUGAAAAGCUGACUAAAUUUACCACUCUUCUGCAGCAGCUUCCUGUUGACGGGAAGUCCCGAUGAGUCGAUUACCGAGUGCAGUAGAGUUCCGCGACUCAUGGAUGAAAAUGUGUGAUUAUGACUCCAUGGAAAAGCAAUCAAAGUUCAUAUGUGUCUUACCUGCCAGUUUAUAACAGUUAUUAUCGAGAGCGGACAGGGAAAAGAACGGAAUUGAGCAUUUCUAACCGCACUCGGUAAUCGUCGCGUCGGGACUUCCCCGACCCGGAAGCUGAUGGAGGAGAGUUGAACUCUGUUUUUAGCAUCCCAAUAACUUCCCUAGCUAAGCUAGCUGAGGUUAGAUGGUGCUGAGACCCUAUUUGUACUGUUGCUGAAGUUUGGUGCUGUUCUGAGCAUUACUUGUGGCUUUUGGUGGCAGUUUACAUUUGGAUCCAUUUACUGCAGUGUAUUGUUGUCGUGCGGUCGUUUCAGAGGUUGAUAAAACUCCGUAAAUUUGCGGUCUGCUAACUUACUCUCUCAAGAGGGAGUCUAACACAGUUUCACGGUGAUUUAGACAAUGGAUUAAAUUUAUACCAGAAUAUCCCUUUAAGUGUUGUUUAUUGUGCAUGCACUCAUCACUUAAGUUUUUAUUGAUUUUUCACAUUUUGUAUGAGCAUCCACCGAUGCAUACACACCACAUCAGACAAUAAAGAAACCAAACAAAGCCACAACAGAAAAAUAAAAACAAAAAUACAGUCCUGUUGGGAGUUGCAUUCUUUCUUGUUCAUUCGUUAGUUCUCUC
ensembl:lncRNA